rnacentral:rRNA from 1 species
GAUGAACGCUGGCGGCGUGCCUAAUACAUGCAAGUCGAGCGAACGGACGAGAAGCUUGCUUCUCUGAUGUUAGCGGCGGACGGGUGAGUAACACGUGGAUAACCUACCUAUAAGACUGGGAUAACUUCGGGAAACCGGAGCUAAUACCGGAUAAUAUUUUGAACCGCAUGGUUCAAAAGUGAAAGACGGUCUUGCUGUCACUUAUAGAUGGAUCCGCGCUGCAUUAGCUAGUUGGUAAGGUAACGGCUUACCAAGGCAACGAUGCAUAGCCGACCUGAGAGGGUGAUCGCCCACAUGGGAACUGAGACACGGUCCAGACUCCUACGGGAGGCAGCAGUAGGGAAUCUUCCGCAAUGGGCGAAAGCCUGACGGAGCAACGCCGCGUGAGUGAUGACGGUCUUCGGAUCGUAAAACUCUGUUAUUAGGGAAGAACAUAUGUGUAAGUAACAGUGCACAUCUUGACGGUACCUAAUCAGAAAGCCACGGCUAACUACGUG